GGUCUUAUAGUCUAAGGAAGACGCUAGGCUGCAAUUCUAGAAAUGUAAAAUUUACUAAGGCUU
rnacentral:tRNA from 1 species